CGUGCAAAGGUAGCGUAAUCACUUGUCCUUUAAAUGGGACCAGUAUGAACGGCUAAAUGAGGAUAAGUCUGUCUCCUUUAACAAAUCAGUGAAACUGAUCUACCAGUACAAAAGCUGGUAUAGCCCCAUAAGACGAGAAGACCCUGUGGAGCUUUAAAUUUAAGCCAAGCAACUAAAGCACAAGUUAGCCAAUGGUUAAAAAUUUUAAGUUGGGGCGACUUCGGAAAAAAACCAAACUUCCGAGCAUUAGACCACGUCUCACCAAGACCAACAAGUCAAGGCUAAAACUGACCCAGUACCACUGACAACCGAACCAAGUUACCCCAGGGAUAACAGCGCAAUCUUCUUCAAGAGUCCCUAUCGACAAGAAGGUUUACGACCUCGAUGUUGGAUCAGGACACCCAAAUGGUGCAGCCGCUAUUAAA
rnacentral:rRNA from 1 species